rnacentral:rRNA from 1 species
GAUCAUGGCUCAGAGUGAACGCUGGCGGCAGGCCUAAUACAUGCAAGUCGAACGGCAGCACGGCAGAGCUUGCUCUGGUGGGUGGCGAGUGGCGGACGGGUGAGGAAUACAUGGGAAUCUGCCCAGUCGUGGGGGAUAACGUAGGGAAACUUACGCUAAUACCGCAUGCGCCCUUCGGGGGAAAGCCGGGGACCUUCGGGCCUGGCGCGAUUGGAUGAGCCCAUGUCGGAUUAGCUAGUUGGCGGGGUAAUGGCCCACCAAGGCGACGAUCCGUAGCUGGUCUGAGAGGAUGAUCAGCCACACUGGAACUGAGACACGGUCCAGACUCCUACGGGAGGCAGCAGUAGGGAAUAUUGGACAAUGGGCGCAAGCCUGAUCCAGCCAUGCCGCGUGAGUGAAGAAGGCCCUCGGGUUGUAAAGCUCUUUUGUCCGGAAAGAAAAGCGCCGGGUUAAUACCCUGGUGUCCUGACGGUACCGGAAGAAUAAGCACCGGCUAACUUCGUG